UUGGGCUGGUAGUACGUUUAUAAGAAAAUCUGGUCGGGCCGGCCCUAACGUAGCUCUAUCAAUGUGUGAGCUGACCGAAAUAUGGAGAAGAACAGAGAAGAGGCUGUGAGCCGCUGAAAAAAAGGGAGGCAGUGACCAGCUUAAGUAGAGUGUAGAGGGUCGCUGUCAGCUAUCUUGUUUCUCUUCUCCCUUCUCCACAGGAUGCUUUGCGGUGGGCGUGCGCCGGUGCCUGCUCGCGCCGCUCACUUGCCGCUGAAUCCAUGGGGAGUAGCAGAGGUCUGUUCACCGCCAUUGAAUUGAAGACGGCGGAAGGGUGAGAAGCAGGGGUUGCGCCGAGGGCCAGAAUCUGGGGCUCCCUGUUGACGACGCGAUGCUGGUGAUGGUGGUCGGGAGCGCAAGCAAGGGGAUGGAGGUCGCCAGCUGGGCAUGGAAGGAAGGGGAGAAAGUCUUGGCCAGGGCUUGGGCCGCGCCAUGGGAGGCCAGGACUUGCUUUUGCAGCCGUGGGCGAAAGCGGAGCUCUAGGGGUUGGAUUGAAAGGCUGAUUGUAUGUCUCCAGGAGACAAAGCUCGACUCCAUUUCUUCCUUUGAUGCGGCAUACAUUGGUGGUAACCAGUUGAAGAGCUUCACGAAGCGCCACGCAAUUGGCACUAAGGAGGGUAUUCUACUUCUUUGGGACGACUCGGCCGCUCAAAUCACCAACGACAGACCUCUUCUUCGUGGAGCUUGUUGCGCAAAAGCCGCCGUCCGGGGUGCGGUGGCUUGCGCUUGGGGACUUCAAUCAAAUCCGCAGCUCUAGCGACAAGAACAAAAGGAACGUAAACGCAGCCGCAUCAUUUGUUUUAGGGCUUCCCUUCAAGCAUGCGAGCUUAACAAGAUCCACUUGCAAAAUCGCCGCUUCACGUGGAGCAACGAAAGGGCAAAGGCUACCCUUUGCAAGCUUGAUGCUUUCUAUUGCAAUAACGAGUGGGACUUCGACACUCAUUUCCUCCAUUGCCUUUCGUCUUGCUUGUCGGACCAUUGCCCCCUUCUUCUUGCCGACCAUAGUGGUCCCCGGAGACCUUCUUCCUUCAAGUUUGAAAACUUUUGGACCUGUAUCCCGGGCUUCAAUGAUGUGGUGCAAAACGUGUGGAACGAGCCCACCAAUCAUGUGGAACCUUUCCAUAUCCUUUACCACAAGCUCAAGAAAACCGGCCAAUCUUUGAGAAAGUGGGGAAGAGGUCUCUUCUCUAACACCAAGGUCAUGUUGCAUGCGACCCUUCUUGUAAUUCUUCACUUCGACAUGGCACAAGAUCUUCGGCCGCUCUCCGAUGAUGAAAGAGACCUCCAGGCACGGUUGAAAAGGAAAGUUAUUGCCUUAUCCGUGAUUUAGAGAGCCCGCAAGAAGCAAUGCGCUCGUAUCGCCAACAUUAAGGAGGGAGACACCAACACCAAAAAAGUUCACCUAAGGGUCAAUGCUAGGAGGACGAAAAAUCACAUCUACCGUCUAAAGCAUAACCGAGGUUGGGUAACGGACCAUGGGGCGAAAGAAGGGGUAAUUCACAAUCAUUUCAAGGAGGUCUUUGCCUACGGGGCGCCUAGGAAGCAAGACUUCAAUUGGAACACGGUCCACUUCGAAACUCCACACUUGCAUGAGCUUGGGGAUCCUUUCACCGAAGAAGAGGUGAAGAAUGCAAUAGACCAAAUUCCUAAUGACAAGGCGCCGAGGCCGGAUGGGUUCACCGGAGCCUUCUUUCAAAAAAUGUUGGGACACUAUCAAGAGCGACGUUAUGAAGGUUGUUCACCAAUUUGGGAACCUACAUGCGGACAACUUCCAUUGGCUUAACUCCGCCAAUAUAGCCCUUUUGCCCAAGAAGGAUGCGGCGGAGGAUGUUUCGGACUUUAGACCCAUAAGCCUUAUCCAUGCCAUUGCGAAGAUCCUCGCCAAGGUGCUUGCUUUACGUUUGGGGCCCCUCAUGAAUGAUCUUGCGUCCAAUGCCCAAAGCGCUUUUAUCAACAAGCGGAGUAUCCAUGACAACUUCCUCUAUGUGAAGAGCCUCGCUAAAAUAUUCCACAAAAGCAAAACAUCGGCGCUUCUCUUCAAGCUAGAUAUUCGCAAGGCCUUUGAUUCCAUCCAUUGGGAGUUUAUUAUGGAUUUUCUUCAAAGGCGGGGUUUUCCUCCUAGAUUUCGCAAUUGGAUCACCGCUUUACUUACCACCUCCUCAUCCCGUGUGCUUCUCAAUGACAUCGCCGGUGAGCGCUGAUACGUCUCAAACGUAUCUAUAAUUUUUGAUGCUCCAUGCUUGUUCUACACCAAUUUAUAUACAUUUUUUCUCAUACUUCGUUGCACUUUUAUACAAUUUUUGGCACUAACCUAUUAACAAGAUGCUAUGGUGCUAGUUCCAUGUUUUCUGCUGUUUUGUAUUUCAGAAAAGUUAUACAGGAAAUAUUCUCGGAAUUGGACGACACAAAAGCCGAAGUCAAUAUUUUUCCACCGACAUCGCCCCUUCGCCUAUUUAAUCACGAUCUCGGGAAAAUCCUGAACACCCGAGCCUCCAUCCACGAAAAGUUCCGUCGCGGCCGCCAUUGCAGACCCUAGCUCGGGAGGGUUCUAAAGCUCUUCCCGGCACCCUACCGGAGGGGGAAAUCAUCGCCGGAGGCAUCUACAUCGACAUACCCGCCUCCGAAGUGAUGCGUGAGUAGUUCAUCCCUGGACUAUGGAUCCAUAGCAGUAACUAGAUGGUUGUCUUCUCCAAUUUAUGCCUCAUGUUUAGAUCCUGUGAGCUGCCUUACAUGAUCAAGAUCAUCUUUAUGUAAUGCUACAUGUUGUGUUUGCUGGGAUCCAAUGAAUAUUGUAUACUAUGUUGAGAUCGAUUAUAUAUUCUUGGCAUAUGUUAUUUGUGA